GACAGAGGGUGCAAACGUUGUUCGGAUUUACUGGGCGUAAAGCGCGUGUAGGCGGCUUCGCAAGUUGGAUGUGAAAGCCCACGGCUCAACCGUGGAAGCGCAUCCAAAACUGCGUCGCUAGAGUCUCGGAGAGGAAGGUGGAAUGCUUGGUGUAGAGGUGAAAUUCGUAGAUAUCAAGCAGAACACCUGCGGCGAAGGCGGCCAUCUGGAUCAACACUGACGCUGAGGCACGAAAGCGUGGGGAGCAAACAGG
rnacentral:rRNA from 1 species